CGUGAGGGGACGCGCUGCGGCCUGGUUGGUGGUUGUGCGUUCUCGGUCCUGAAGAAGCAUCUUUGAUAAAGUUACUAAAUUUAAGGUUUAUUAUCUAAAAAGCGGAUACUUAAGGAGGUGUGACCACUGAUGACGAAAGCAGAGAGGCGGCGUCUUGCCCUGGGACUCCGCAGUUGGAGGCGUCGCCGUCCUGGCCCUUCUGUUGGAGCCGCGGCACCGGGGGUUUCCUGGUUCUCGGCCUGGCGGGGUCGGAUGACCGAGGGCUGAAGUCCGGGCGUGGGGCCGCGUUCUGUGCUGCUCCUGACUGCUGCUCUCUGCGACGGGUUUGCAGACAGCCCCCAGGCUCCCUGCGCAGCAUCGCCUUGCUGGUUCCACAGCCCGUCCCGGUGCGGUCCUCCUGGGACCUUGAUCUGCUGAGAAGACUGGGACUCUUCCGCCGCCUCUUUUCCGUCUGUGGCUCGAAGUGCUACCUCUUCGCUCCUGAAUUUCUCUUAAAAGGUUCUGUGGAUUGUGGUUUUCUUUAUGCUCCAGUGUGCACGGAACUGCAUCCCUAA
rnacentral:lncRNA from 1 species